CAAUAGCGUAUAUUAAAGCUGUUGCAGUUAAAAAGCUCGUAGUUGGAUUUGUGGCGUACGGUGUGUUCCGGGCACUUGUUGUCUGAGUAACCUGCUGUUGCCAUCCUUGGGUGGAACCUGUGUGGCAUUAGGUUGUCGUGCAGGGGAUGCCCAUCAUUUACUGUGAAAAAAUUAGAGUGUUCAAAGCAGGCUUAUGCCGUUGAAUAUAUUAGCAUGGAAUAAUGAGAUAGGACUUUUUUGCUAUUUUGUUGGUUUGCGCAAGAAGGUAAUGAUUAAUAGGGACAGUUGGGGGUAUUCGUAUUCCAUUGUCAGAGGUGAAAUUCUUGGAUUUUUGGAAGACGAACUACUGCGAAAGCAUUUACCAAGGAUGUUUUCAUUAA
rnacentral:rRNA from 1 species